ACGAACGCUGGCGGCGUGCUUAACACAUGCCAGUCGAACGGUAAGGCCCCAGCUUGCUGGGGUACACGAGUGGCGAACGGGUGAGUAACACGUGGGUGACCUGCCCCGCACUUCGGGAUAAGCCUGGGAAACUGGGUCUAAUACCGGAUAGGACCGCACCGUGAGGGUGUGGUGGAAAGUUUUUCGGUGUGGGAUGGGCCCGCGGCCUAUCAGCUUGUUGGUGGGGUAAUGGCCUACCAAGGCGGCGACGGGUAGCCGGCCUGAGAGGGUGGACGGCCACAUUGGGACUGAGACACGGCCCAGACUCCUACGGGAGGCAGCAGUGGGGAAUAUUGCACAAUGGGCGGAAGCCUGAUGCAGCGACGCCGCGUGGGGGAUGACGGCCUUCGGGUUGUAAACUCCUUUCACCAUCGACGAAGGUUUUCUGACGGUAGAUGGAGAAGAAGCACCGGCUAACUACGUG
rnacentral:rRNA from 1 species